AAGGAUUUAAGUUAAACUUAAACUUUUAACCUUCAAAGUUAAUAAUAGAAAAAUUUCUAAGCCUUA
rnacentral:tRNA from 1 species